AAUCAACGCUGGCGGCGUGCCUAACACAUGCAAGUCGAACGCGAAAGGGGCUUCGGCCCUGAGUAGAGUGGCGUCCGGGUGAGUAACGCGUGGGUAAUCUGCCUUCGGGUGGGAAUAACCAGUCGAAAGAUUGGCUAAUACCGCAUAAAGCAACUGUUUCUAUGAAGUGGUUGUUAAAGGAGCAAUCCGCCUGAAGAGGAGCCUGCGUCUGAUUAGCUAGUUGGGCGGGGUAAC
rnacentral:rRNA from 1 species